CAGCUCUAAAGCCCCCCUGUCGGCGCCGCCCUGGUGCUCGGCGGGGCUGAGGGGCCGGUGGUGCGGGUAGUCCCCGGUCCGCGGCGGCUCCGGGGGCAGUGGCCGCCGAUGGGAGCAGAGAAGGCGGCGGCGACCCACCAGACCCGCUGCCGGAGGAACCGGUUCCCGCGGGUGAGAAGGGGCAGGAGGAGGAACGAGAGGCGGCUACCAGGGAGGGGAAGGACCCGGCGGAGCCAGCGCCUCCUACCCCCGGCGGUGGGCUGGGGCUGGCCGUCUGCGGGAGCCCGAGGCUGUUCUCCCCCAUGCAGCGGAGGGGGCUCCCCUGACAGCGGCUCAGCAGAGGGACACGCUGCCCGCCCCGGGGGUCUGAAGAGACAAAGAUAAUUAAUAAUCUUCGGGGGGAGGGAGGGGGUUAAACACCCGCCUAUCGCUAGCUAGUAUAGAAGCCAAAAAAAUAGCCACCUCCUAGAAUAAAGCCCUCUGCCUUGCCGUAA